rnacentral:misc_RNA from 1 species
GUAACAAGGUCUCCGUUGGUGAACCAGCGGAGGGAUCAUUACCGAGUUUACAACUCCCAAACCCCUGUGAACAUACCACUUGUUGCCUCGGCGGAUCAGCCCGCUCCCGGUAAAACGGGACGGCCCGCCAGAGGACCCCUAAACUCUGUUUCUAUAUGUAACUUCUGAGUAAAACCAUAAAUAAAUCAAAACUUUCAACAACGGAUCUCUUGGUUCUGGCAUCGAUGAAGAACGCAGCAAAAUGCGAUAAGUAAUGUGAAUUGCAGAAUUCAGUGAAUCAUCGAAUCUUUGAACGCACAUUGCGCCCGCCAGUAUUCUGGCGGGCAUGCCUGUUCGAGCGUCAUUUCAACCCUCAAGCACAGCUUGGUGUUGGGACUCGCGUUAAUUCGCGUUCCCCAAAUUGAUUGGCGGUCACGUCGAGCUUCCAUAGCGUAGUAGUAAAACCCUCGUUACUGGUAAUCGUCGCGGCCACGCCGUUAAACCCCAACUUCUGAAUGUUGACCUCGGAUCAGGUAGGAAUACCCGCUGAACCUAAGCAUAU